AUCAACAUAGCAGUUUCUAGAUACAUAUAAAUUACAAUCUGUUUGCUAACUGGAGAUUGUGGCAUUUAUAGUGGAACACAUCUGGAAAGUAUAAUGUUGGACAGGCUGUCUUAAUCCAUGUUUUUUAGCAGCAUGUACUAUUAUGUUUUGUCUCUAAUCUGCUGUAUCAUUUUUUUUUCUCUUCUCGCAUUCAUCCCCAAUAGCAUGUGUUGUUCACUCGCCUUUCAAACAUUAUGGAUAUUUUCAGAGAGACUGGCACAGAAUUUGAGCAGUUCCUCACAGAAUGCCUCUAAAGAAAAGAAAAGGAGCACAAUUCCCCUUGAUUAUAUUACUUUUGAAAGUUGAUCCAGAAAAAGAGGAAAAGAAUGGGGAGAAGAUUUUCCACUCACUUUCAUUGCCGAAUGUGGUUGGCCUCCAAACAUUUUAGAUCUGGUUUCCAGACAGAUGCGAUUGCACAGCUUGACCUUCCGUCGUCUUCUUGACGGACGCCAUCUCCUGCUUUGAAAACUCGGAUUGAACUGACCACGGCUUGUCUUCCCCCUUCUGGACUUGGAAACUACAACGUCUACUUCUGGCUUUGAACCACGGAAAGGAACUGGGUCUACUCUUCUGCUACAAUCCUUGGCUGAUCUGUUCGUGUUGGGAAUCCUGUCUGCUGUGUGUGUGUGGGAGCGACGCAAGUUCCUCUAAGCACAGUGUUGGCAGCAGAGAGGAAUCUGCUGCCAAUUAGUUGCAUUCUUUUGUAUCUUUUGUUCCUCGGCUUUUGUUUUGUUUACCCUCAGGCUGAAGCAAGCAGUUUGUUUUUACCCGGAUUAAACUUCGGUUUAAUCCGGUUUAUCUUUUGUACGUUUUUUUCCUUGUCCCUUUUUUUGCUCCUAAAGGCUAAAAUUGCCUGGCCCUUGUGUUUUACGGGCAUUUUUGAGUUCUGUAAUUAAAUAAACUCUGUUAUCUUGAA